rnacentral:rRNA from 1 species
UCAAAGGUAGGGGAUGAGUUGUGGCUAGGAGUGAAAAGCUAAUCGAACCCGGAGAUAGCUGGUUCUCCUCGAAAGCUAUUUAGGUAGCGCCUCAUGUAUCACUGCUGGGGGUAGAGCACUGUUAUGGCUAGGGGGUCAUUGCGACUUACCAAACCAUUGCAAACUCCGAAUACCAGCACGUGCGAGCAUGGAAGACACACGGCGGGUGCUAACGUCCGUCGUGAAAAGGGAAACAACCCAGACCCGCAGCUAAGGUCCCAAAAUCGUCGCUAAGUGGAAAACGAUGUGGGAAGGCACAGACAGCCAGGAGGUUGGCUUAGAAGCAGCCACCCUUUAAAGAAAGCGUAAUAGCUCACUGGUCGAGUCGGCCUGCGCGGAAGAUUUAACGGGGCUAAGCGAUGUACCGAAGCUCGGGGUUUACUCGCAAGAGUAAGCGGUAGAGGAGCGUUCCGUAAGCCUGUGAAGGUGAGUCGUAAGGCUUGCUGGAGGUAUCGGAAGUGCGAAUGCUGACAUGAGUAACGAUAAGGGGGGUGAAAAGCCUCCCCGCCGAAAGCCCAAGGUUUCCUCGCGCAACGUUCAUCGGCGCAGGGUGAGUCGGCCCCUAAGGCGAGGCAGAAAUGCGUAGUCGAUGGGAAGCGGGUUAAUAUUCCCGCACCUGACUGUAGUGCGAUGGGGGGACGGAGAAGGCUAGGUGUACCGGGCGUUGGUAGUCCCGGGGAAAGGAGGUAGGCGUUGAGAGUAGGCAAAUCCGCUCUCAUCUACGCCGAGCACCGAGACGAGCUCUUUGAGCGAAGUCACUGACGCCACGCUUCCAGGAAAAUCCUCUAAGCUUCAGCUACGGUGAGACCGUACCGUAAUCCGACACAGGUAGGCAGGGUGAGAAUCCCAAGGCGCUUGAGAGAACUCGGGUGAAGGAACUAGGCAACAUAGCACCGUAACUUCGGGAGAAGGUGCGCCCAAGGGUGUGGCAACAUGCGUUGCUGAGCAUCCCUGGGCCGCAGUGACCAGGCCGCUGCGACUGUUUAUCAAAAACACAGCACUCUGCAAACACGUAAGUGGACGUAUAGGGUGUGACGCCUGCCCGGUGCUGGAAGGUUAAUUGAUGGGGUCAGCCGCAAGGCGAAGCUCUUGAUCGAAGCCCCAGUAAACGGCGGCCGUAACAAUAACGGUCCUAAGGUAGCGAAAUUCCUUGUCGGGUAAGUUCCGACCUGCACGAAUGGCGUAACGACAGCGGCGCUGUCUCCACCCGAGACUCAGUGAAAUUGAAAUCGCUGUGAAGAUGCAGCGUUCCCACGGCAAGACGGAAAGACCCCGUGAACCUUUACUAUAGCUUUACACUGAACGUUGAGUUCGUCUGUGUAGGAUAGGUGGAU